rnacentral:rRNA from 1 species
UACAGAGGUGGCAAGCGUUGUUCGGAAUUACUGGGCGUAAAGGGCGCGUAGGCGGCCUACUAAGUCAGACGUGAAAUCCCCCGGCUUAACCUGGGAACUGCGUCUGAUACUGGAUGGCUUGAGUUUGGGAGAGGGAUGCGGAAUUCCAGGUGUAGCGGUGAAAUGCGUAGAUAUCUGGAGGAACACCGGUGGCGAAGGCGGCAUCCUGGACCAACACUGACACUGAGGAGCGAAAGCCAGGGGAGCAAACGGG